GCUAAUACCGUAUAACAACCAAAACCACCUGGUUUUGGUUUAAAAGAUGGCUUCGGCUAUCACUUUAGGAUGGACCCGCGGCGUAUUAGCUUGUUGGUAAGGUAACGGCCUACCAAGGCAAUGAUACGUAUCCGACCUGAGAGGGUAAUCGGCCACAUUGGGACUGAGACACGGCCCAAACUAAUACGGGAGGCAGCAGUAGGGAAUCUUCCACAAUGGACGAAAGUCUGAUGGAGCAACGCCGCGUGAGUGAUGAAGGGUUUCGGCUCGUAAAACUCUGUUGUUGGAGAAGAACAGGUGUGAGAGUAACUGUUCACAUCUUGACGGUAUCCAACCAGAAAGCCACGGCUAACUACGUGCCAGCAGCCGCGGUAAUACGUAGGUGGCAAGCGUUGUCCGGAUUUAUUGGGCGUAAAGCGAGCGCAGGCGGUUUCUUAGGUCUGAUGUGAAAGCCUUCGGCUUAACCGGAGAAGUGCAUCGGGAAACCACGAGACUUGAGUGCAGAAGAGGACAGUGGAACUCCAUGUGUAGCGGUGAAAUGCGUAGAUAUAUGGAAGAACACCAGUGGCGAACGCGGCUGUCUGGUCUGUAACUGACGCUGAGGCUCGAAAGCAUGGGUAGCGAACAGGAUUAGAUACCCUGGUAGUCCAUGCCGUAAACGAUGAGUGCUAAGUGUUGGAGGGUUUCCGCCCUUCAGUGCUGCAGCUAACGCAUUAAGCACUCCGCCUGGGGAGUACGACCGCAAGGUUGAAACUCAAAGGAAUUGACGGGGGCCCGCACAAGCGGUGGAGCAUGUGGUUUAAUUCGAUGCUACGCGAAGAACCUUACCAGGUCUUGACAUCUUCUGCCAACCUAAGAGAUUAGGCGUUCCCUUCGGGGAC
rnacentral:rRNA from 1 species